GAUGAAGAACGCAGCGAAAUGCGAUAAGUAAUGUGAAUUGCAGAAUUCAGUGAAUCAUCGAAUCUUUGAACGCACCUUGCGCUCCUUGGUAUUCCGAGGAGCAUGCCUGUUUGAGUGUCAUUAUAUUCUCAAUCUCUACAACCUUUGUGAAGAUUGGACGGUGGGGGCCUUUGUGAGCAGUUCGCGCUCACUCCCCUGAAAUAUAUUAGCUGGAAUGCCUUUGCAACCAACUAUCAGUUUGAUAAUAUCACUACUGUAGUUGUUGCAUUGAGGGAAUCUGCUGCUUAACUGUCGUAAAGGACAAAAUGGAAUAACUUUGACCUCAAAUCAGGUAGGACUACCCGCUGAACUUAAGCAUAUCAAUAAGCGGAGGA
rnacentral:misc_RNA from 1 species